ACAUCCCUUCUCUCCCACUUCACACCUCGGAACGCACCNAGGCAGAAGGGAGCUUGACUGCAAGACCCACCCGUCGAGCAGGGACGAAAGUCGGCCUUAGUGAUCCGACGGUGCCGAGUGGAAGGGCCGUCGCUCAA
rnacentral:ncRNA from 1 species